UCAAGAGUUUGAUCCUGGCUCAGGACGAAAGCUGGCGGCAUGCCUAACACAUGCAAGUCGAACGAAAAGUAGCAAUAUUUUUAGUGGCGAACGGGUGAGUAACACUUGAGCAACCUACCUUAUACAUCGGGAUAACGCCUAGAAAUGGGUGCUAAUACCGAAUAAGACCACAGUAUGACAUCAUACAGGGGUCAAAGUUCAGGCGGUAUAAGAUGGGCUCGAGUCCAAUUAGCUAGAUGGUGAGAUAACAGCCCACCAUGGCGACGAUUGGUAGCCGGCCUGAGAGGGUGAUCGGCCACACUGGAACUGAGACACGGUCCAGACUCCUACGGGAGGCAGCAGUGGGGAAUAUUGGGCAAUGGGCGAAAGCCUUACCCAGCAAUGCCGCGUGUGUGAAGAAGGUCUUCGGAUUGUAAAGCACUAUAUUGGGGAAGAACACAAUGACGGUACCCAAGAGAAAAAGCCCCGGCUAACUAUGUGCCAGCAGCCGCGGUAAUACAUAGGGGGCUAGCUUUGUCCGGAAUUACUGGGCGUAAAGGGUGCGUAGGUGGUAGUGUGUGUUGGAAGUGUAAUCCCUCGGGCUUAACUCAGGGGCUGCUUCCAAAACUACAUUACUUGAGUAUCGGAGAGGAAAACGGAAUUCCUAGUGUAGCGGUGAAAUGCGUAGAUAUUAGGAGGAACACCAGAGGCGAAGGCGGUUUUCUGGACGAUAACUGACACUGAGGCACGAAAGCGUGGGGAGCGACUGGGAUUAGAUACCCCAUUAGUCCACGCUGUAAAUGAUGGGUACUUGACGUUGGGAGUAUCAACUCUCCCAGUGUCGUAGCUAACGCAUUAAGUACCCCGCCUGGGGAGUACGAUCGCAAGGUUGAAACUCAAAGGAAUUGACGGGGACCCGCACAAGCAGCGGAGCAUGUGGUUUAAUUCGAAGCAACGCGAAAAACCUUACCAAGACUUGACAUCGUAUGAUCAUCAUAGAAAUAUGGUUUCUCUUCGGAGCAUAUAGACAGAUGGUGCAUGGUUGUCGUCAGCUCGUGUCGUGAGAUGUUGGGUUAAGUCCCAAAACGAGCGCAACCCUUAUCGGUAGUUGCCAAUAUUUAGUUAGGAACUCUGCCGAGACCGCCGCUGUAAGGUGGAGGAAGGAAGGGAUGACGUCAAAUCAUCAUGCCUCUUACGUCUUGGGCUACACACGUGCUACAAUGGCCAUUACAAAGAGCAGCAACAUGGUAACAUCGAGCAAAUCUCACAAAAAUGGCCUCAGUUCAGAUUGUGGGCUGCAACCCGCCCACAUGAAGUAGGAGUUGCUAGUAAUCCCGAAUCAGCAUGUCGGGGUGAAUGCGUUCCCGGGUCUUGUACACACCGCCCGUCACGCCAUGGGAAUUGGUAGUACCCAAAGUCGGUGAGCUAACCGCAAGGAGGCAGCCGCCUAAGGUAAGACCAGUGACUGGGGUGAAGUCGUAACAAGGUAGCAGUACCGGAAGGUGCGGCUAGAUCACCUCCUUU
rnacentral:rRNA from 1 species